rnacentral:lncRNA from 1 species
CUUUUGAUAAAUAUUUUAGAUUUUAAAAUAUUUAAUGAGUUGAUGAUAUUGACAUUAAGCCCAAUUUUAUCGUCAAGAAUAAAUUGUACAAUGUAAAUAGUGUAUAGUGAUAUUGGUGGAAGAUAUUUUUAUUCAUAUUGUGAAAUCCAAUACUCGGAAGAGGUGUGCCUACAUUGGCAGAAUUUAUAUAACAGAUUACAGAUUACAGAUU